rnacentral:rRNA from 1 species
UACGUAGGGCGCAAGUGUUGUCCGGAAUUAUUGGGCGUAAAGAGCUCGUAGGCGGUUUGUCGCGUCUGCUGUGAAAACUCGAGGCUCAACCUCGAGACGUCGGUUGAAACCGUACGGCUAGAGUCCGGAAGAGGAGAGUGGAAUUCCCGGUGUAGCGGUGAAAUGCGCAGAUAUCGGGAAGAACACCCGUGGCGAAGGCGGCUCUCUGGGACGGUACUGACGCUGAGACGCGAAAGCGUGGGGAGCGAACAGG